UGUAGUGGGCUGUAGGAACUGUCCAGAGCAAAAUCAGUCUGUCCUGAUGGCACUACCUGCUACUAUGGCUGCUGCUCUCAACCUGGUGGGGCAAGUCUUAAGAGUUGCAGACGGGGGAGCAAAAGGAGUUCCUGGACCCUUAAAGGGUUAAGGCCAUAAUGGGCCACCUAGAAGAGAUUCAGGCACUCCCUCAAGAUUGCUGGGCCAUGCAAUUAAUGCCAAACUUGCAGAACUGUGAUGUCAGUACAAAAACAAAAAUGGCCAUUUUUAAAUAAAUUCAACAAA